CAGGGGAGGACACUUCUCAACUUGGGGUCCUGUGACUGCGUGCCUUCAACUUCAAGUCUCUCUGAGCUGCUGAUGGUGGAAGAAGCAGCCUCCAAAUAUGCCAGCCUGCAGUGUCUGUGCUGGGUGAGCUGUGGCCUGGAUCCUUGCAGAGCCUUUUGUGGUGUGCAGCUGCUGUGAGCUCUGCUGUAACUUGGAAAGCUUUGCAGCCCAGGGCUGGGGAACUGGGCUGAUGCUGUUCUUGGCUCCAAAGCCUUCCUAGAUGGUGUCAGCUGUCAAACAACUCCUGUGUAGUGAGAGCCUUCCGUGUCAACCAUUCGUUCCCGUUCCCUGGAGCCUGUAGGCCAGCUGCACUUCCCUCAGCCAUAAACGCAGUGUCCCUGCGGAGUGGAUACACACUUAGUUAUCCCCUUUCCUUGUGCAGAGACCUUCCAGCAUUCCCAUGUUGCUUGGUAUCAGGUGGGCAAAGGGCUGUACCAAGGCUGAUUGGAUCUUGAUAGGCUAACAAGGGCAGAACACCAGUGAGAGAGCUGCAGCCAUUCCCACCUGAGCUCCUGAUAGGAGUCCUUCCUCAACCCAGCCAUCAGCUUGUCUUGGAGACCUCCAACCUGCUGUUCUAUAGGACUGAAGCAAGCUAACGCGUUCCCAUCUUAUUCACACCCUUCUCCAAAGCUCUGAUGUGCCAAACCAGGGUCAGGCCCCUCCUGGGACACUGCCUCCCCUUCUGAGCAUCUGUGCAGACAUUAAGAACAGUAGCAUCUCUCAUAUGCAGAGAGAAAGAGCAGGGCAGAGAAAGAAGUCAUGGGUGAGCACUGGAAGUGUGCUCAGAGCACCUCUCUCAGUGCAGCUGACUGCUCUGGAAUUCAGCAGCCUCUUGAAUCCAACAAUCCAUUGUUGACCUCUUCACUCUUUUUACCUUAAACAAAAGGAGCACUGUUCUGAUUGAACUGUGGCACUUCAUCUGCAGCUGGACUACCAAACUGAUAAGCCAGGCAAUCAAAGAGAAGGUAAUAAAAUCCAGAGAUCUACAAGUUCAGCAUUUAGAUUUUCAUUUUUGUCCAGAGGAAAAACAGACAGCAGGUGAGUCUGCCAUUUCCAUCAGUGUUAUGCUGUGUGCUGGGGGAGAUAUGAUGGCAUAAUGCCCCGGCUUCAGGGACACACGGCUGUGGCUGAGGCUGUGAGGGAUGCCUUCCACCAGUGCUGCAAAAGCCUUUCACUUCCAAUAGACUGGGACCUCGGAGCUGAAGUAUGCAUUGUGUUUUGUGGAAAAGAAGAUCAACUCUCACGUUUUUAAGCUGCCUAAGGAAGGAAAGCUACCGAAGCAGAGCAGCAGACAGCCUGCUAUCUCUUCUAGCUCAUCUCUGCAAGGAAUUACCAGAAUAAAAAGUUGUAUUUCUACGUGAAGGGAUUCAUACAUCGUCUUUUCCAAAAAUCAUUCUCCAAUUUUAUGAGCUGGUUUGUAAGCCAUACACAUAGAGAGUACAAUUUGUGUU